rnacentral:snoRNA from 1 species
AAGAAUUUCCUGCCAUGUUAUGAGCCUUAAAGACGUGGAAGUCAUUAAGGCCCUUGAGAAUAGCUAAAAGA